AGCGAACGCUGGCGGCAGGCUUAACACAUGCAAGUCGAGCGGGCAUAGCAAUAUGUCAGCGGCAGACGGGUGAGUAACGCGUGGGAACGUACCUUUUGGUUCGGAACAACUGAGGGAAACUUCAGCUAAUACCGGAUAAGCCCUUACGGGGAAAGAUUUAUCGCCGAAAGAUCGGCCCGCGUCUGAUUAGCUAGUUGGUGAGGUAAUGGCUCACCAAGGCGACGAUCAGUAGCUGGUCUGAGAGGAUGAUCAGCCACAUUGGGACUGAGACACGGCCCAAACUCCUACGGGAGGCAGCAGUGGGGAAUAUUGGACAAUGGGCGCAAGCCUGAUCCAGCCAUGCCGCGUGAGUGAUGAAGGCCCUAGGGUUGUAAAGCUCUUUUGUGCGGGAAGAUAAUGACAGUACCGCAAAAAUAAGCCCCGGCUAACUUCGUGCCAGCCGCCGCCGUAA
rnacentral:rRNA from 1 species